UUCCUGGUGGUCCAGUGGUUAAGACUCUGUGCUUCCAACGCAGGCAACAUGGGUUCAAUCCCUGAUUGGGGAA
rnacentral:tRNA from 1 species